CACGUAGGGAGCAAGCGUUGUCCGGAUUUAUUGGGCGUAAAGAGCUCGUAGGUGGUUCGGUAAGUCAGGUGUGAAACCUCCAGGCUCAACCUGGAGACGCCACUUGAUACUGCUGUGACUGAAGUCCGGUAGGGGAGCGUGGAAUUCCUGGUGUAGCGGUGAAAUGCGCAGAUAUCAGGAGGAACACCGAUGGCGAAGGCAGCUCGCUGGGACGGUACUGACGCUGAGACGCGAAAGCGUGGGGAGCAAACAGG
rnacentral:rRNA from 1 species